GAUGAAGAACGUAGUGAAAUGCGAUAAGUAAUGUGAAUUGCAGAAUUCAGUGAAUCAUCGAAUCUUUGAACGCACAUUGCGCCCGCCAGUAUUCUGGCGGGCAUGCCUGUUCGAGCGUCAUUUCAACCCUCAAGCCCAGCUUGGUGUUGGGGAUCGGCACAGGCGCCCUCGGGCGCCCGCCGUCCCCUAAAUCUAGUGGCGGUCCCGCUGCAGCCUCCUCUGCGUAGUAGUUUUCUCCUCGCAAGGGCAGCUCGGUGGCGACCUCGCCGUAAAACCCCCAACUUCUGAAAGGUUGACCUCGAAUCAGGUAGGAAUACCCGCUGAACUAAAGCAUAUCAAUAAGCGGAGGA
rnacentral:misc_RNA from 1 species